CGAGCGGACAGAGGGAGCUUGCUCCCUGAUGUUAGCGGCGGACGGGUGAGUAACACGUGGGUAAUCUGCCUGUAAGACUGGGAUAACUCCGGGAAACCGGGGCUAAUACCGGAUGCUUGAUUGAACCGCAUGGUUCAAUUAUAAAAGGUGGCUUUUAGCUACCACUUACAGAUGGACCCGCGGCGCAUUAGCUAGUUGGUGAGGUAACGGUUCACCAAGGCAACGAUGCGUAGCCGACCUGAGAGGGUGAUCGGCCACACUGGGACUGAGACACGGCCCAGACUCCUACGGGAGGCAGCAGUAGGGAAUCUUCCGCAAUGGACGAAAGUCUGACGGAGCAACGCCGCGUGAGUGAUGAAGGUUUUCGGAUCGUAAAACUCUGUUGUUAGGGAAGAACAAGUACCGUUCGAAUAGGGCGGUACCUUGACGGAACCUACCCAGAAAGCCACGGCUAACUACGUGCCAGCAGCCAC
rnacentral:rRNA from 1 species